GUGAACCCGCACCUCUUACAUCUCCAGCGCUGGCAGGCAGGUUCUUUACCACCAGUGCCACCUGUGAAGCCCUAAUUUCAGUUUCUCCAGGAGCAAAGUAGCUAGUAGCUAGUUCUGGCCCAGUGUCUUUGAUAAGGUUGCCAGUGGCUGGGACGUCCCUGGUGGUCCAGUGGCUAAGACUCCAUGCUCCCAAUGCAAGAGGGCCUGGGUUCAAUCCCCAGUCAGGGAACUAGAUCCCACAUGCCAAGACCCAGUGCAGCAAAAUAAAUAAAAAUUUAAAAAGAAGAUGGUGGCUGAGGUUACAGCAUCUGAAGGCUUGGCUUGGGGCUCAAGGUUUCCUCCCCUGCUCAGGGGCCCCCUCACGCUCUGGGCAAGCUGGUGCUGACUGUGGGCGUGAGGACUCAGUUCCUCUGCCUGGGGGCCUGUCCACACACCAGCAAAGCUGGAGUCAGCUGUGUCUAGUUCAGCCGAGCAAGAGUCAGCGGUGUCCAGUUUGAGCUGAGCUGGUUGAGACUGGCUGGGACCACUGACCUUUCAACUGAGUGUGCGAACAUGCAGAGGCCUGUUGCUGAGCUAUGUCUGCACAAAGCGACGACCAGGGCACCCUUUUCCAUCACCUUUCCCCACGGUCCCCGUGUCUCAGACGACCUGCUUCUUCAGUCUUCAUCCCAUAAACACAUAAGCCCCUUGCCUGAGGGGAACUGGAUUUGGGGUUUGUUUUCCCAUCUCCUUGCUUGGUGGCCCUGCUGAUGGACCCUGUCUUUGCUGCAGACUUUGGUGUCUCUGUUUUGGGUUGCUGUACAUCCAGGUGGGUGAGAAGCUGAGGGCUGAGCAUCACACCUGGAGAUGGAGCCUGGUGGGAAGACGAGCUCAUGUUGGCAAAGCUGCAUGCUGGCAGAUAACAGCCUCUUUUCCAGCCCUGAGGCAGUUUCCAGCUUCUCCAGUCAGGUUCAACCCACAGCUGUAGCCUGAGAAGCCAGAGGGGAGAGAGCUACUCCAACCAUGGGGGGAGGCCUGCUGCUUCCUGAUCCCAUCAUAGAGCCCCGCUGGGGAGGGGCCAGAGUGGGAGCCCUGCUACGGUCCUCCAUCCUCGAGCACAGAGAAGAUGGGAGAGAGGCAGGGGUCUCUGCCCGGGGCUGGUCCACCCCAGCUCAGCUGAAACACAGGCGUCUCCAGCCCAGACUCCAUGGGGUGGACAAAAGGCAGUUUUGGGCCCCUCCCACCCAGACUGUGGGGCAGGCCCAGGAUGCAUGCCUGUCUUAGAUGCUGGCCCUUCAGGAGUGGCUGCCCUGGGUGGGUUGGGGCUGGGAUAAGCCUGAGGCCUGGUCUCUGGGUCACUGUGUUGGGUACCUGCUGGCCAUAUUUGUAGAGCAUGCACACUGUUACUUGUGUUCUGAUCUCUGCAGACUGUCCUUGAAGGAUGUGUGCUCCUGGGUCUGGGUAAUUUUUUUUCUUUCUCUUAAAAGAUAAGACUUCUAAGAGCAGCUUUAGGUUCACAGCUAAACUAGGUGGAAAGUGUGACAUUUCAAUAUUCCUCCUCCCUCACACCCGUGGCUUCCCCGUCAUCAUCUCCACCGGUUGGUACUUGUGUUACAACUGAUGACCCCACAUGGACAUGUCAUUAUGACCCAGAGUCCACAGUUGACAUCAGGGGUCACUGUAGGUGGUGUGUGUCCUGUGGGUUUGGCCGAACAAAUAAUGACACGUAUAUUAUACAUCAAUACAGUAUCAUACAGAGAAGUUUCACUGCCUUAAAAACUCUGUUCUCCACCUGUUCAUCCCUCCCUCGCCACAAUCCCUCAAAAUCAGACCUUUUUAUCCUUGGCAUAUCUUGCCUUUUCCGUGACAUCAAACUAGUUGCAAUCAUAUAGCGUGUAGCCUUUGUUUCCUCCAUGUCUUCAUGACUUGACAGCUCGCUUAUUUUAGCAUGUAAUAAUAUUCCCAUCUGGAUGCCCUGUAGUUCAUUUAUCCAUCACCUACUGAAGGACACCUUGGUUGUUUUCAAGUUUUGGCAAUUAUGAAUAAAGUCACUGUGAAAAAGCACCCAUGUGCAAGU